rnacentral:rRNA from 1 species
GAACGAACGCUGGCGGCAGGCCUAACACAUGCAAGUCGAACGCCCGUAGCAAUACGGGAGUGGCAGACGGGUGAGUAACGCGUGGGAACGUGCCCUUCGGUUCGGAAUAACUCAGGGAAACUUGAGCUAAUACCGGAUACGUCCGUAAGGAGAAAGAUUUAUCGCCGAAGGAUCGGCCCGCGUCGGAUUAGCUAGUUGGUGGGGUAACGGCCCACCAAGGCGACGAUCCGUAGCUGGUCUGAGAGGAUGAUCAGCCACACUGGGACUGAGACACGGCCCAGACUCCUACGGGAGGCAGCAGUGGGGAAUAUUGGACAAUGGGCGAAAGCCUGACCCAGCCAUGCCGCGUGAGUGAAGAAGGCCUUAGGGUUGUAAAGCUCUUUCAGC